rnacentral:rRNA from 1 species
CGCUGGCGGCGUGCCUAAUACAUGCAAGUCGAACGGUCUUUCUAUGGAAGCUUGCUUCCACUGAGAAGAUAGUGGCGAACGGGUGAGUAACACGUGGGUAACCUGCCCAUAAGAGGGGGAUAACAUCCGGAAACGGGUGCUAAUACCGCAUAGUUUCUUGAUCGCAUGAUCGGGAAAGGAAAGACGGCCUUUGUGCUGUCGCUUAUGGAUGGACCCGCGGCGUAUUAGUUAGUUGGUGAGGUAACGGCUCACCAAGACGAUGAUACGUAGCCGACCUGAGAGGGUGAUCGGCCACAUUGGGACUGAGACACGGCCCAAACUCCUACGGGAGGCAGCAGUAGGGAAUCUUCCGCAAUGGACGAAAGUCUGACGGAGCAACGCCGCGUGAGUGAAGAAAAGGUUUUCGGAUCGUAAAACUCUGUUGUCAGAGAAGAACAAGUUGGAGAGUAACUGCUCCAGCCUUGACGGUAUCUGACCAGAAAGCCACGGCUAACUACGUGCCAGCCGCUGC